GCGCAACCCUCGCCGUUAGUUGCCAGCACGUUUGGGUGGGCACUCUAACGGGACUGCCGGUGUCAAACCGGAGGAAGGUGGGGAUGACGUCAAGUCAUCAUGGCCCUUACGGCCAGGGCUACACACGUGCUACAAUGGAGCGUACAAAGGGUUGCGACCUCGCGAGAGUGAGCUAAUCCCAUAAAACGUUUCGUAGUCCGGAUCGCAGUCUGCAACUCGACUGCGUGAAGUCGGAAUCGCUAGUAAUCGUAGAUCAGAAUGCUACGGUGAAUACGUUCCCGGGCCUUGUACACACCGCCCGUCACACCAUGGGAGUGGGUUGCACCAGAAGUAGCUAGUCUAACCUUCGGGAGGACGGUUACCACGGUGUGAUUCAUGACUUGGGUGAAGUCGGAACAAGGUAGCCGUACUGAA
rnacentral:rRNA from 14 species